rnacentral:lncRNA from 8 species
AUGAGCCUCCGUCUAUGUCAGGCAGCCAGGCUGCCCUUCUACAACCUUGAGGCUGCCUUUCUACAACCAGGAGGCUGCCCUUCAACCACCAGGAGGCUGCCCUUCAACCACCAGGAGGCUGCCCUUCCACAACCAGGAGGCUGCCCUUCUACAACCAGGAGGCUGCCCUUCCACAACCAGGAGGCUGCCCUUCAACCACCAGGAGGCUGCCCUUCCACAACCAGGAGGCUGCCCUUCAACCACCAGGAGGCUGCCCUUCCACAACCAGGAGGCUGCCCUUCCACAACCAGGAGGCUGCUCUUCUACAACCAGGAGGCUGCCCUUCUACAACCAGGAGGCUGCCCUUCUACAACCAGGAGGCUGCCCUUCAACCACCAGGAGGCUGCCCUUCCACAUCCAGGAGGCUGCCCUUCCACAACCGGGAGGCUGCCCUUCAACCACCAGGAGGCUGCCCUUCCACAACCAGGAGGCUGCCCUUCUACAACCAGGAUGCUGCCCUUCUACAACCAGGAGGCUGCCCUUCUACAACCAGGAGGUUGCCCUUCCACAACCAGGAGGCUGCCCUUCCACAACCAGGAGGCUGCCCUUCUACAACCAGGAGGCUGCCCUUCUACAACCAGGAGACUGCCCUUCUACAACCAGGAGGCUGCCCUUCUACAACCAGGAGACUGCCCUUCUACAACCAGGAGGAUGCCCUUCCACAACCAGGAGGCUGCCCUUCUACAACCAGGAGGAUGCCCUUCCACAACCAGGAGGCUGCCCUUCAACCACCAGGAGGCUGCCCUUCCACAACCAGGAGGCUGCCCUUCUACAACCAGGAAGCUGCCCUUCCACAACCAGGAGGCUGCCCUUCCACAACCAGGAGGCUGCCCUUCAACCACCAGGAGGCUGCCCUUCCACAACCAGGAGGCUGCCCUUCUACAACCAGGAGGAUGCCCUUCCACAACCAGGAGGCUGCCCUUCCACAACCAGGAGGCUGCCCUUCUACAACCAGGAGGCUGCCCUUCUACAACCAGGAGGCUGCCUUUCCACAACCAGGAGGCUGCCCUUCCACAACCAGGAGGCUGCCCUUCUACAACCAGGAGGCUGCCUUUCCACAACCAGGAGGCUGCCCUUCCACAACCAGGAGGCUGCCCUUCCACAACCAGGAGGCUGCCCUUCUACAACCAGGAAGCUGCCCUUCUACAACCAGGAGGCUGCCCUUCUACAACCAGGAGGCUGCCUUUCCACAACCAGGAGGCUGCCCUUCCACAACCAGGAGGCUGCCCUUCUACAACCAGGAGACUGCCCUUCAACCACCAGGAGGAUGCCCUUCCACAACCAGGAGGCCGCCCUUCCACAACCAGGAGGCUGCCCUUCUACAACCAGGAGGCUGCCCUUCUACAACCAGAAGGCUGCCCUUCUACAACCAGGAGGCUGCCCUUCUACAACCAGGAGGCUGCCCUUCUACAACCAGGAGGCUGCCCUUCUACAACCAGGAGGAUGCCCUUCCACAACCAGGAGGCUGCCCUUCUACAACCAGGGAGCUGCCCUUCUACAACCAGGAGGCUGCCCUUCUACAACCAGGAGGCUGCCCUUCUACAACCAGGAGGCUGCCCUUCUACAACCAGGAGGCUGCCCUUCUACAACCAGGAGGCUGCCCUUCUACAACCAGGAGGCUGCCCUUCUACAACCAGGAGGAUGCCAUUCCACAACCAGGAGGAUGCCCUUCCACAACCAGGAGGCUGCCCUUCUACAACCAGGAGGAUG